GGGUGAGUAACACGGGGGUUAUUUUUCCCAACAGCUUGGGAUAACAUUUGGAAACGGAUGUUAAUUCCGCUUUUUUUUUAGCCCGCAUGGUCUAUGAAAGAAAGACGGCUUUGCUGUCGCUUUUAGAUGAUCCCCGCGGCGUAUUAGUUAGCUGGGGGGGUAAGGCCUACCAAGACCAUGAUACGUAGCCGACCUGAGAGGGUGAUCGGCCACACUGGGACUGAGACACGGCCCAGACUCUUACGGGAGGCAGCAGUAGGGAAUCUUCCACAAUGGGUGAAAACCUGAUGGAGCAAUGCCGCGUGAAUGAAGAAGGUCUUCGGAUCGUAAAGUUCUGUUAUUAGAAAAGAACAAGUCAAGGAGUAACUGUCUUGACUUUGACGGUACCUAACCAGAAAGUCACGGCUAACUACGUGCCAGCAGCCGCGGUAAUACGUAGGUGACAAGCGUUGUCCGGAAUUAUUGGGCGUAAAGGGAGCGCAGGCGGUUGGAAUAGUCUGAUGUGAAAGCCCACGGCUUAACCGUGGAAGGUCAUUGGAAACUGUCCAACUUGAAUACAGAAGAGGUAAGUGGAAUUCCAAGUGUAGCGGUGAAAUGCGUAGAUAUUUGGAGGAACACCAGUGGCGAAGGCGACUUACUGGUCUGUAAUUGACGCUGAGGCUCGAAAGCGUGGGUAGCAAACAGGAUUAGAUACCCUGGUAGUCCACGCCGUAAACGAUGAGUGCUAAGUGUUAGGGGGUUUCCGCCCCUUAGUG
rnacentral:rRNA from 1 species